GAUGAACGCUGGCGGCGUGCCUAAUACAUGCAAGUCGAGCGAACAGACGAGGAGCUUGCUCCUUCGACGUUAGCGGCGUACGGGUGAGUAACACGUAGGUAACCUACCUAUAAGACUGGGAUAACUUCGGGAAACCGGAGCUAAUACCGGAUAAUAUUUCGAACCGCAUGGUUCGAUAGUGAAAGAUGGCUUUGCUAUCACUUAUAGAUGGACCUGCGCCGUAUUAGCUAGUUGGUAAGGUAACGGCUUACCAAGGCAACGAUACGUAGCCGACCUGAGAGGGUGAUCGGCCACACUGGAACUGAGACACGGUCCAGACUCCUACGGGAGGCAGCAGUAGGGAAUCUUCCGCAAUGGGCGAAAGCCUGACGGAGCAACGCCGCGUGAGUGAUGAAGGUCUUCGGAUCGUAAAACUCUGUUAUUAGGGAAGAACAAACGUGUAAGUAACUGUGCACGUCUUGACGGUACCUAAUCAGAAAGCCACGGCUAACUACGUG
rnacentral:rRNA from 1 species